rnacentral:rRNA from 1 species
AUUGAACGCUGGCGGCAGGCCUAACACAUGCAAGUCGAGCGAGCGGCGGACGGGUGAGUAAUGUCUGGGAAACUGCCCGAUGGAGGGGGAUAACUACUGGAAACGGUAGCUAAUACCGCAUACCAUCGGAUGUGCCCAGAUGGGAUUAGCUAGUGGGUGGGGUAAUGGCUCACCUAGGCGACGAUCCCUAGCUGGUCUGAGAGGAUGACCAGCCACACUGGAACUGAGAAACGGCCCAGACUCCUACGGGAGGCAGCAGUGGGGAAUAUUGCACAAUGGGCGCAAGCCUGAUACAGCCAUGCCGCGUGUAUGAAGAAGGCCCUAGGGUUGUAAAGCACUUUCAGCGGGGAGGCGUUACCCGCAGAAGAAGCACCGGCUAACUCCGUGCCAGCAGCCGCGGUAAUAC